rnacentral:SRP_RNA from 1 species
GCUGGGUGUUGUGGCGUGCGCCUGUAAUCCCAGCUACUCAGAGGCUGAGGCAGGAGAAUCACUUGAACCCAGAAGGUGGAGGUUGCAGUGAGCUGAGAUCACGCCACUGCACUCCAGUCUGGGUGACAGAGUGAGACUCUGUCUCAA